rnacentral:rRNA from 1 species
GACGAACGCUGGCGGCGUGCUUAACACAUGCAAGUCGAACGGAAAGGCCCUGCUUUUGUGGGGUGCUCGAGUGGCGAACGGGUGAGUAACACGUGAGUAACCUGCCCUUGACUUUGGGAUAACUUCAGGAAACUGGGGCUAAUACCGGAUAGGAGCUCCUGCUGCAUGGUGGGGGUUGGAAAGUUUCGGCGGUUGGGGAUGGACUCGCGGCUUAUCAGCUUGUUGGUGGGGUAGUGGCUUACCAAGGCUUUGACGGGUAGCCGGCCUGAGAGGGUGACCGGCAAGAGUGGGGAGGAGAUGAGGCGUAGAAGCCGACGGGGGGGAGAGGGGGAAAAGAGUGCACACGGAGCGGAGGACUGAUGAAGCAGCGGGGGGGGGGGGAUGACGGCCGUGGGGUUGUAGACCGCGUGCGCCUGGGAGGGAGGGUGAGUGAGGGGAAGGGGCAAAGAAGCACCGGCUAAGGACGUGCCAGCAGCGGCGGUAAGAAUCGAAGCGAACACGUAUGACC